rnacentral:rRNA from 1 species
GUAGGCGGUUUACCAAGCAAGGCAUGAAAUAGUGUGGCUCAACCAUACUGCUAUGUUUUGAACUGGUAGACUAGAGGAUGAGAGAGGUUAUUGGAAUUCCAAGUGUAGGAGUGAAAUCCGUAGAUAUUUGGAGGAACACCGAUGGCGUAGGCAGAUAACUGGCUCAUUCCUGACGCUCAGGCACGAAAGCGUGGGUAGCAAACGGGAUUAGAUACCCCGGUAGUCCACGCCGUAAACUAUGGAUGCUAGCUGUACACCGUAUCGACCCGGUGUGUAGCGAAGCUAACGCGUUAAGCAUCCCGCCUGUGGAGUACGAGCGCAAGCUUAAAACAUAAAGGAAUUGACGGGGACCCGCACAAGCGGUGGAGCGUGUUGUUUAAUUCGAUGAUAACCGAAGAACCUUACCAGGGCUUGACAUCCAGGGAAGGACUACGAAAGUAGUUUGUGCCUUUUGGAACCCUGUGACAGGUGAUGCAUGGCCGUCGUCAGCUCGUGUCGUGAGAUGUUAGGUUAAGUCCUUCAACGAGCGCAACCCUUGCAAGUAGUUGUAUUUUUCUACUUGGACUGCCCCGGUAACGGGGAGGAAGGAGGGGAUGAUGUCAGGUCAGUAUUUCCCUUACGUCCUGGGCUAGAAACGUAAUACAAUGGCAAGUACAAUGCGCAGCGAAGCCGCGAGGUGAAGCAAAUCGCAUCAAAGCUUGUCCCAGUUCGGAUUGGAGGCUGAAACUCGCCUCCAUGAAGUCGGAAUCGCUAGUAAUCGCAGAUCAGCAAGCUGCGGUGAAUACGUUCCCGGGUCUUGUACACACCGCCCGUCAAACCAUGAAAGUGACCAACACCCGAAGUCCGAUUCGUCGGCCUAAGGUGGGGGGCAUGAUUGGGGUU